rnacentral:rRNA from 1 species
UACGUAGGGUGCGAGCGUUAAUCGGAAUUACUGGGCGUAAAGCGUGCGCAGGCGGUUUUGUAAGUCAGAUGUGAAAUCCCCGAGCUCAACUUGGGAACUGCGUUUGAAACUACAAGACUAGAAUAUGUCAGAGGGGGGUAGAAUUCCACGUGUAGCAGUGAAAUGCGUAGAGAUGUGGAGGAAUACCAAUGGCGAAGGCAGCCCCCUGGGUUAAUACUGACGCUCAUGCACGAAAGCGUGGGGAGCAAACAGG